GUGGGGAAUAUUGGACAAUGGGCGAAAGCCUGAUCCAGCAAUGCCGCGUGAGUGAAGAAGGCCUUCGGGUUGUAAAGCUCUUUUACCCGGGAAGAUAAUGACUGUACCGGGAGAAUAAGCCCCGGCUAACUCCGUGCCAGCAGCCGCGGUAAUACGGAGGGGGCUAGCGUUGUUCGGAAUUACUGGGCGUAAAGCGCACGUAGGCGGUCUUUUAAGUCAGAGGUGAAAGCCCGGGGCUCAACUCCGGAAUUGACUUUGAAACUGGAAGACUUGAACACGGGAGAGGUGAGUGGAAUUCCGAGUGUAGAGGUGAAAUUCGUAGAUAUUCGGAGGAACACCAGUGGCGAAGGCGGCUCACUGGACCGUUGUUGACGCUGAGGUGCGAAAGCGUGGGGAGCAAACAGGAUUAGAAACCCGAGUAGUCC
rnacentral:rRNA from 1 species